rnacentral:rRNA from 1 species
GGCGGUGAUGCCGCCGCCACGAGCCGCCAUGGCCAGCAGCGAGCCGCGUGCGCGCAAGCAAGGCCGCCGCCGCCGCCACGAGCGCCGCCGCCGCGCCAGGCCGCCGCCAGCCGCCAGCCGAGCCGAAGGCUACGCCAGGCCACAAGGCGGCCGCCGCCGCUGCAGGCCGCCGCCGUACGCCGCGAAGGGCCGCGCGGCCGUCAGCCGCUGGCCGAACGAUGCCGCUGGCGCUAGCCGAUACGGCCGCCAGCCGCCGCUGUCCGCCGCCACGGCCAAUGACGGCCAGCGGCGUUGCCGAAGGCAUAAGGAAUAUUAACAUGUGUCGAACGAGGGCCCCUUCGGGGCUUAGGUGUGGCGCACACGGUGCGUAACGCGAAUCUGCCCUUUGGUUCGGAAUAACAGCUGAAACGGCUGCUAAUACCGGAUGAUGACGAGAGUCCAAAGAUUUAUCGCCAGAUGAGCCCGUUGGAUUAGGUAGCGUUAGGUAAAGGCCUAGUACUAAGCCGACCCAUAUAGCAGCUGGUCUGGAGAGGACGAGCGAUCAGCCAACACUCGGGACCGGAGACACGGCCCAGACACCUCACGGAGGCAGGAAUAUUGACAACAAUGGGCGCGCAAGCCUUGAUCCAGCAAUGUCAUGAGUGGAAGAAGGCCUGCCUAGGGUUGUAGUGUUUCUUACCCUGUAGCGAUAACGACUUCAAUGGAGAAUAAGCCUCCCGCUGAUAGAGUGAAGAGAUGACUAACUCCGUGCCAGCAGCCGCGGUAAUACGGAGGGCUAGCGUUAAUCGGAAUAAUUCAUUUUCGGGCGUAAAAGCGUGCAGGCGGCCCUGGUGCAGGCGAUGAUGUGAAAUCCCAGAGCUUCUAACUCUUCUUCUUCUUGGAACUGCAUUUUUAACUACCGAGCUAGAGUGUGUCAGAGGGAGGUGGAAUUCCGCGUGUAGCAGUGAAAUGCGUAGAUAUGCGGAGGAACACCGAUGGCGAAGGCAGCCUCAACACUGACGCUCAUGCACGAAAGCGUGGGAGCAAACAGGAUUAGAUACCCUGGUAGUCCACGCCCUAAACGAUGUCAACUAGCUGUUGGGGCCUUUCGGCCUUGGUGGUAGCGCAGCUAACGCGUGAAGUUGACCGCCUGGGGAGUACGGUCGCAAGAUUAAAACUCAAAGGAAUUGACGGGGACCCGCACAAGCGGUGGAUGAUGUGGAUUAAUCGAUGCAACGCGAAAACCUUACCUACCCUUGACAUGUCUGGAAUCCCGAAGAGAUUUGGGAGCAAGCUGUAAGAGAACCGAACACAGGUGCUGCAUGGCUGUCGUCAGCUCGUGUCGUGAGAUGUUGGGUUAAGUCCUGCAACGAGCGCAACCCUUGUCAUUAGUUGCUACGAAAGCGCGACUUCCCCAUCGAGACUGCCGGUGACAAACCGAGGAAGGUGGGGAUGACGUCAAGUCCUCAUGGCCCUUAUGGGUAGGGCUUCACACGUCAUACAAUGGUCGGGACAGAGGGUCGCCAACCCGCGAGGGGGAGCCAAUCCCAGAAACCCGAUCAAAGUCCGGAUCGCAGUCUGCACCCCGACUGCGUGAAGUCGGAAUCGCUAGUAAUCGCGGAUCAGCAUGUCGCGGUGAAUACGUUCCCGGGUCUUGUACACACCGCCCGUCACACCAUGGAGUGGGUUUUACCAGAAGUAGUUAGCCUAACCGUAAGGAGGGCGAUUACCACGGUAGGAUUCAUGACUGGGGUGAAGUCGUAACAAGGUAG